rnacentral:rRNA from 1 species
CAGCCGCCGCGGUAAUACGAAGGGGGCUAGCGUUGUUCGGAAUUACUGGGCGUAAAGCGCACGUAGGCGGAUUUCUAAGUCAGGGGUGAAAUCCCGAGGCUCAACCUCGGAACUGCCUUUGAUACUGGAGAUCUUGAGUUCGGAAGAGGUUGGUGGAACAGCUAGUGUAGAGGUGAAAUUCGUAGAUAUUAGCUAGAACACCAGUGGCGAAGGCGGCCAACUGGUCCGAUACUGACGCUGAGGUGCGAAAGCGUGGGGAGCAAACAGGAUUAGAUACCCGGGUAGUCCCUGUCUCUUAUAC